CCGUGCUAGGUGGGGAGGUAGCGGUGCCCUGUACUCGCAAUCCGCUGUAGCGAGACUGAAUCCCUUCCCGAGGCCUGGCCAUUGCAGGGUCUGACUUAAGUAAGUAGUGUUGACAUUCAGGUCCUGCGCAACGGAGCCCCAUGAACCCUGUCAGGUCCGGAAGGAAGCAGCAGUAAGUGGGUUUCCUCCGUGUGCCGCAGGAGUGCCUGGAUCGAGCCAACUGCUUGAGUAACGCUUGUGAUGGCCUUGCCGACGGAAGGUGCACGG
rnacentral:SRP_RNA from 1 species